rnacentral:piRNA from 1 species
UGGCCUAGAGGAGGUCACCGCUGGGGA